rnacentral:rRNA from 1 species
GUGAGGAAUAUUGCGCAAUGGAGGCAACUCUGACGCAGCCAUGCCGCGUGCAGGAAGAAGGCGCUACGCGUUGUAAACUGCUUUUAACCGGGAAGAAACCCCAGGACGUGUCCUGGGUUGACGGUACCGGAGGAAUAAGCACCGGCUAACUUCGUGCCAGCAGCCGCGGUAAUACGAAGGGUGCAAGCGUUAUCCGGAUUCAUUGGGUUUAAAGGGUGCGUAGGCGGAGCGUUAAGUCAGUGGUGAAAUCCUGCAGCUUAACUGUAGACUUGCCAUUGAUACUGGCGCUCUUGAGUGCGCUUGAAGUGGGCCGAAUGUGCCGUGUAGCGGUGAAAUGCUUAGAUAUGGCACAGAACACCAAUUGCGAAGGCAGCUCACUAAGGCGAUACUGACGCUGAGGCACGAAAGCGUGGGGAUCGAACAGGAUUAGAAACCCGGGUAGUCC